rnacentral:tRNA from 1 species
AGCCCGGUAGCUCAGUGAUUAGAGCGCUGGCUUCUCAAGCCAGAGGACCAGGGUUCGAUUCCCCGGCCGAGUGG